GCCUUUGUGGUGUAACGGUAGCACACUCGGCGCGUAUUCGAGAGGUCCAGGUUCGAGUCCCAGCGAGGGCA
rnacentral:tRNA from 1 species